GUCAGGAUGGCCGAGUGGUCUAAGGCGCCAGACUCAAGAACCGAGGUUCUUCGCCGACAUGAGGUGUUGAGUAUUCUGGUCUCCGAAUGGAGGCGUGGGUUCGAAUCUCACUUCUGACA
rfam:Ciona savignyi cont_28601, whole genome shotgun sequence.